CCUACGGGUGGCUGCAGUGGGGAAUAUUGGACAAUGGGGGCAACCCUGAUCCAGCCAUGCCGCGUGUGUGAAGAAGGCCCUCGGGUUGUAAAGCACUUUCAGUGAGGAAGAACGCCUGGUGGUUAAUACCCAUCAGGAAAGACAUCACUCACAGAAGAAGCACCGACUAACUCCGUGCCAGCAGCCGCGGUAAUACGGAGGGUGCGAGCGUUAAUCGGAAUUACUGGGCGUAAAGCGCGCGUAGGUGGCUUGAUAAGCCGGUUGUGAAAGCCCCGGGCUCAACCUGGGAACGGCAUCCGGAACUGUCAAGCUAGAGUGCAGGAGAGGAAGGUAGAAUUCCCGGUGUAGCGGUGAAAUGCGUAGAGAUCGGGAGGAAUACCAGUGGCGAAGGCGGCCUUCUGGACUGACACUGACACUGAGGUGCGAAAGCGUGGGUAGCAAACAGGAUUAGAUACCCUUGUAGGC
rnacentral:rRNA from 1 species